UACAGAGGGUGCGAGCGUUAAUCGGAGUUACUGGGCGUAAAGGGUGCGUAGGCGGACUGAUGUGAGAGAUGUGAAAGCCCCGGGCUUAACCUGGGAAGAGCAUCUUUAACUGUCAGACUAGAGUCCAUCAGAGGGUGGCGGAAUUUCCGGUGUAGCGGUGAAAUGCGUAGAGAUCGGAAGGAACGCCGGUGGCGAAGGUGGCCACCUGGGGUGAGACUGACGCUGAGGCACGAGAGCGUGGGGAGCGAACAGG
rnacentral:rRNA from 1 species